rnacentral:pre_miRNA from 1 species
GUGCUGUUGUCCAGAGCCCUUUUUCUGUUGUACUACUGGCAAUUAUGAUGAGCAGUGCAAUAUUAAAAGGGCAUUGGCUGGCAGAAA